GAUGAACGCUGGCGGCGUGCUUAACACAUGCAAGUCGAACGAUGAAGCUGGAGCUUGCUCUGGUGGAUUAGUGGCGAACGGGUGAGUAACACGUGAGCAACCUGCCCCUGACUCUGGGAUAACAGCCGGAAACGGCUGCUAAUACCGGAUAUGCACCAUGAACGCAUGUUCUGUGGUGGGAAAGAUUUUUCGGUUGGGGAUGGGCUCGCGGCCUAUCAGCUUGUUGGUGAGGUAAUGGCUCACCAAGGCGUCGACGGGUAGCCGGCCUGAGAGGGUGACCGGCCACACUGGGACUGAGACACGGCCCAGACUCCUACGGGAGGCAGCAGUGGGGAAUAUUGCACAAUGGGCGAAAGCCUGAUGCAGCAACGCCGCGUGAGGGAUGACGGCCUUCGGGUUGUAAACCUCUUUGAGCAGGGAAGAAGCGAGAGUGACGGUACCUGCAGAAAAAGCGCCGGCUAACUACGUG
rnacentral:rRNA from 1 species